rnacentral:tRNA from 1 species
GGUGUUGUAGCUCAGUGGAAGAGCACUUGCCUAGCAUGCGUGAGGCAUUGGGUUCAAUUCUCAGCAUCA